UCCCUGGUGGACUAGUGGUUAGCAUGCAGCGUUCUCACCGCCAUGGCCUGUGUUUGAUUCCCAGUCAGGGAA